CGGCCGGCCGGGCCCGGUUCGCCGCGGCGCUGGUGGCGCUGGGAGCCGCCGGCCUCAGCGCUGCGCUGCUGCUCUUCCCCCGGGAGGACGAGCGGCCGGCCGCAGCCGCCACCGAGGAGCUACGGCUCUCCAUGCUCCCGCCUGCCUCCUUCUUCCAGCACACCCCGGAGCAUGCCGAUAGCCACGUGGC